UUUCUUAUCACAACAAGAAAUUCGCACAUGUCAACAAAAACGUUUAUCUCCAAAUUUCCUUUAUAAUACAUAAGCCAUAAAAGCAUAAAAACUACAAAAGACUCGCAACAAAAAGCUUGUUCCACAUUACAAACAAAAAUGUGUUGCUGAACAUCAAGUUGAUAUGAAGAAAACAGCUUCAAUCUGCCUGUGAAAGGUUCAGAAAUCUCACACCAUACAAUCCCAAGCUUUUCACUAUAUAUACAAGCUAACAAGAAGACAAAAUUUUAUUUAUGCACAUGAAAUAGGCCAAAGCAUUCAAGCUUUUUUACUCAUUGUGCUUCCGCAACCGAGUAAUGCACUUCUGUAACAGAUUUUUUCAAGAAACUACUUCCGCAGUUUGAAUCUUGGCUACAAACAUCAAGAGAGUCAAAUUCAGAGGAACCUUCAAUAACUUGAGAAUCCCACGACUUACUGCACAGAUCAGAUUGCCCACAAACAUUGCGAGACUGCUUCUUAUCUUUCCCAUUGCCUCCUCGGGUUGAAUUUCCCUUGUUACCUUUCUUUGCAUUUUUCUUUUCAUUCUUCUUUUUCCUGGAUUUCGGCUGUUUCUUGUUUUUUACAGUGUGCGACACUAGUGUAGGUACAGGAUCAUACACAUCAGCAGCCCAUUUCACUGUCAAUUUCCCAUGUGGUUCACCGUUUUUAUCACGGCUACCUUUCAAGGCGGAUUUAAGCUCUGAAGGAGCCUGCAGAGAUAUCGAACGAGAGUAAGCUUGAUGAGCAGAAUGCUCAUUAAGUGAUUCUGUAACGGAUGAAUCAGCAUCCUCGUCAGAAGAGCUUGAAGGCAACAUCACAUGAGGAGUUGGAAAGGUUGCAGAUUUAUUCAAACACACCUUGUUAGGUUUUGAUUUUUUCUGUUUAUUAACCCCACUUAAGUUUUCCUUGCCUACAUUGCACAU
rnacentral:lncRNA from 1 species